ACGGCUGUGCAAGUGCUUUGGGUCAACAUGAUUAUGGACACUCUUGGAGCACUAGCACUGGCUACAGAACCUCCUCAUGAAGGAUUAAUGAAAAGGCCCCCUGUUGCGAAGGGUGAAAGUUUAAUCACCAAGGUCAUGUGGAGGAACAUAAUUGGUCAGUGCAUUUAUCAGCUAAUCAUACUAGUAGUUCUCAAUUUUGACGGGAAGCAGUUGCUAGGGCUUAGUGGUUCGGGUGCCACUGCUGUACUCAAUACUGUGAUAUUCAACUCCUUCGUGUUUUGCCAGGUACUAUUCUCGGAUUUAGCUUAUUGCCUCUCGUUUUGUCCCCUUGACCAACUUCUUAUACUGUAUGAUUAUUGAGAAUAGUAUUUAUUUAGCUGUUCAAUGAAAUAAACAGUCGAGAAAUGGAGAAGAUAAAUGUGUUCAAAGGCAUGUUCAAUAGCUGGAUGUUCGUAGGAAUAUUGGUUUUAACCGUGGCUUUUCAAAUAAUAAUAGUCGAGUUCCUCGGAGCAUUUGCAAGCACUGUGCCACUUAGGUGGCAACUAUGGCUUCUGAGCAUCUUAAUCGGAGCAGUUAGCAUGCCCAUUGCAGCUGUGAUAAAGUGCAUCCCGGUUAAAAAGUGUGAACCCAAACUUCAACGCCAUGAUUAAGUUUUGAAGUGAAUAGAUACUCACAAUGUAAAUGUUAUAUUUUAUAUCAAUGCUGAAAUUUUAGCUGAAAAAUGAUGGCAUGGUUCUUCAAUUGGAUGCCCUUUCCUGUGCUUGUCAUCGUGAUAAGGGGUGCCGAUGAUAUUGUAUAUAAUGGAACUGUGUAGGGGGGUGCUGUGUCUCAUUAAUGAAAUUAAGAAGAUUUGAUUAUCAUUAUUGCAGUAUUUCAUGUUCGUUGACUUAGACACAACUGGGGAUUAUGCUGAAUAGAUACAAUUAAAUCACAAGACAGAACAUACUUGUUUUACUGAAAUCAUCGUUAGGUUUCAUUAUUCUGGAGUCCCAUUGAGUUCUUUUGUUACAUAAUCACCUUUCUUGUUUCAUUUGCAGUUCUUUGGACCCUCAGUUACAAGUCGCGCUCAAGGAAUAUCUAGUUGCCAGAGGAAUUGGAGAACACUUAACCAACUAUCUUCUCCUCCAUGUACAGCAAGAUCAACACGUGAACUGGUUGCAAAAGCUUAAAUUCAUGGUAGCCAAAAGCUGAGUGACUUUGACAAUAUACUGGUAUGUGCCUGAAAAUUCUACCAUCUUUUUGAACACCCUCAAUGCCCUGCCCUUUGUUCUAGAAAAAGGGUCGCAGCCGAAAGUAAUUCAAUUGAGCUCAUAAUUUAACUUGAUAUGAAAAUACCAUGACCUUAUCAAGAGUUGUACCAUCUCUUUCCAAAUUUCUGCAAUGAAUGAGUUAUAUUCCAUAUUCAAAUUUUCUGGGCAUACUUUUGUCUAAAGCUAAAAUGUUUGCGACUUUUAAGUGGACGGCUGGAGUUGUCUUACACUGACGGUUGGUUUCAUCUGUUGCAGCAUGCAAUAAUAGACCACCUAUAAAGAUCUGACCCGAUUGAGUUAAAGGGUUAGAAGUUUUCUGCAGAUUAAUAAAUGCUAAAGAUGCUGGAGGCUAAAGUAGGUUGAUUUCAAUAUCAAUUUAGAUUGUUAUUAGUUAAAGCUUAAAACAAUGUUAUAAAAACAAGAGCACUAAUAUUUGAACAACUGGGUAGCAAAGGGCAACAGACUCAAUGUUACCGUUCAGUGUACAAUAACAUCAUAGCAACUGGCAACCAAAAUGAUACAUUGUACUUUUUUUUUCAUAUAUUUGUCUUUUCUUUAAAAAAGAAAAAGAAAAGGACAGGGUAAUUGGUAAAAUGCGAAUCAAUUUUUUAGUUCAUAUCUCCUAACUCUCUUAAAACUCGGACUCGAAACAAAAUAAAUAAACUGUCAGAAAAUAAUUCGGUCAAGUGGACCGGGUUGGUGUUCAAAUAUCAUUUGUAUUAUAAACCUGCUGCUUAAGACCAAAAAUAAAAUAAACUUUGAACAAAACUUGCUUGCCUCCCAUUGACCCCAUUACCCAAAAACAAAACAUGUCCCAUGGGCCAUGGCAUGAAUCAUGAAAUCCCAACGGCAUGGUCAAAAACACAUGGAGAUGUCUUUUUUCUUUCUUCUUUUUUAAAUAUUCUACGAAAAUUGAAACUUCCACACCAUGGAAAUCAUUUUUUUACCUGCCACCGUUAACGGGUGCUACACGUGGAAUUGCAGGUGGCCAACAAUAUAAAUGUGGAUAUAAUAAGAAGGAAGAGAUUUUUUUAAGCGUGCGGAAAGGGGAAGAGUUUAGGCGGUGCGACUUUGCGCAUGAGGAGUUUUCUUUAAGGAGAGUUUCGUUGUCACGCAUGGAGAUUGUUCCUUUUUGAAAUGCGGUAUUUGUAGAGUCAAGAGUCAACAUUAUUACACUAUUUACUUAAUUUUUUUUAUUUUUUAUUUUUUUGGGUCAGCUUGAGCAAUUGUUUUUUAUUCUUUUAAAAACACAAUAUAUGUGGUAAUAAUAAUAGGGCAAACCUUAGGUGCAACUGUGGCACCGUGCCACAGUUGCAUCUAGCCGUUAGAUGUCAGUGGAUCCUACUAAUUCAACUGCAUCCAAUAAUUAGAUGUAACGGUGCCACAAUUAUAUCGUAGCAUGAUCCAUAAUAAUAUUAUAUUGUAAAAGUAAUUUGAACCAAUAGAGUUUGACUUUGUACAUAUAUGUAGGUAGCAUUGGUCACCGGCCUUCCUUUUCUGAUUUGAUGCUUUUGACUUUUUAUAUCAUUUUUCAUUUUUUGAACAUUAGCAAAAUUUGUGGGGUACCUAGUGUCUUCACUCUUGCACCUCUUCUUUGUCUUUAAUAUUAAUAAUCAGCGGACUGAUACCAACAACGCAUCCAACCGUUAUUUAUUUUUGUUUAUCAUUAUUCUAUUACCUCCAUUUAAUUCUUCUCAAUUUGAACAACCCCAAACUUGUUUGUAAUAUAAAUUUGGAUUUAUUAGGAUAUUUUUCUUAUUUGGAACGAUUCUUAUUUAAAGAAUUAGAAAUUUUUCUUUUGAAAAUUAAGAAAAUGAACAAUUUUCCCAUAAGAAAUAAUCACUCUAUAUAUAGAGAUGUUGGAUUCUUUUGUUCAUAUAACACAUCAAUUAAUUUUUCUACAAGUAGACAAUUUCAAAUGUAAAAGAAAUAGUAAGUCUAUUGAGAUAAUCAGUGUAAUAAUUUUUCAUAUACUGAAUUUUUUCUCUCGUCAUUAUUGGUGAUUGUGAUUUUUCUCUGGUAUAAGAAUUUUUUCACAUAAAUUUUUGUGUUACAUGAUUGGUCUUUAUUCUCCAUCUAUUUUCUAUUUAUUUUUUGUUUGAUAUUUUUACUUACAAAAUCUUUGAUGGGACUAAAAAUUCUUAAUAAAUUUUAAUUCAUUAGACGUGACCAUUUGAGUAGUUGAAGUUUGGCAACAAAAAAAAUCUACAAAAGUGGUUAUUUGCUUGGAACACCUUUGUUCCUCUCACCCUUUAUAAAACAAAUGAUAUGAAAAAGCAAACCUAGCUACCAAAUGCAUAUUACAUGUUAUAGAUGGUCGGUCUCUUUUUAUCCGUUGGUUGACUUGUAAAUUAGCGAUGAGCAUGAAUUUUAGAUUUUUCUCAUAUACUCUUUCAUUGAGGAAAUUUAUGUAAUCGAUGUUUUAGGAAACUUGGGUGUUGUUUGUUCAUCGGAAAAUUAUCCACCGAUCACUUGUUUUUUUCAGUUUUUUUAAAAAAUACACAAUUUUUUUUCUUUUUUUUAUUGAAAUCCACCUGAACUUACAUUUCUUUUCACUUGUCCAUUUCCGUUUGGAGACCGUUAAGAAAAUUAAUGGAAUAUUAUGUAAAUGAUUUUUUUAUCCUCAAAUAUAAAAGAUAAAUUAUCCACUGACCACGUGUUUUUUUGUAUUUUUUUUAAAAUACGCAAUUCUUAAUUUUUUUUUUCCUGAAUUCCACUUGAAGUUAUAUUGUUUUGUACAUAUCCACCAUUGUAUCGUUAUAAAAUGAUAAUUUUAUCCUUAUGAUGUUAGUAAAUGAUGUUAGCAAAGUUUCAACGGUAUUAUAACGAGAGUGAAUUAAUAAAAAAAUAUUAAUUUCAGAUAAAACACUGUAAAAAAAAAUUUAUAUAUUUUUUAAAAAUAGUAAAAAAAUAGAUAUUUGAUAAAUAAUUUCCCAUGUUCAACUUUUACCUCCCAGGACUUAUCGCCUGAAUCGAUACAAAAAUUCUUGUUUUGAUAAUUUGUCGUCGGGCCCAUGCAUUUUUAUUGGCAUUUUCUUUUGUAACUUAUGAUUUUUUCUCCUUGUUACAACUAAGACAAUCAAUUUGGCAAGUAACAUCAUGAAACAGUGAAAAGGAGUUAAACAAACUUUAACCUUACAAAGAACAGGAGACAUCAUAGCUAUCCUUAGGUUGGACGAAUUGUCUGGAGAAGAUCGUUUAACUGUAAUAGGGGCAAGAAAAAUUGAGUGUUUCUUAUUACAAUUUUUUAUUAUUAUUAUUAUUAUUUUUAUGGCUGAUGUAUUUACAUCUUCCCCAAGGAAAUAAAUUUGUCUAGCUGAAACUAAGGGUUUAAAUCGAUCUUGUCUAGAGAAUUAGAUGGUCUUUCCGAGCAAGUCUUUUAUUUGAUAAGUAACAUACGUGAAGUUGUUUGCUAAGGCUACAAACUUAAAAAUAGAGAGUAAUUUAAAGAAAUAACCUUAAAUCUUUUUGUACUAACCCCUAAUUAAAUUAUUUGAGAUUUAAAAGUGAAAGAAAUCAUUUUAUCUACUAAUAGGGGAUAAAUAGGCGUAUUAACAAAUCACGUGUCUAUUGUCACAGCUAUAGAUAUGGGUAUUCUAAAAAUCCGCUCUAACAACCAAUGGUCAAUGAUGGCUCUAAUAAAUGGUCAUGUUAGAAUAAAGAAUAAUGAGAUCACUAUUUUACUAAAUGAAGCGGAGAGCCAUUGAUCCUUGAGAAGCCUGGUAAACUAUUGAAAUUACAUGAGCUAACUUGAGGAAAAUUGAAGGCAAAAGACUGACAAUUGAGGCAAAUCUAGCUCUCAGACGAGCUAGGACAGGAGUCGAGGUUAUCAAUAACUAAUUGGUGCGCUCGAAUAGAAUAAUCCAACGAAUAUUUGUUUAUACCCCUUAUUCUAGUUCCACCAAUUGACUCCAAUUAAAUUCAAUCAAGUGGAAUCAGAUUCUAACAAAAGGAAAAAGGUUUCAAUUCAAAAAUGAAACGGAAUCCAAUAGAAAAACUUAUUGGGUACCACUGGCACUGGUGGUGGUAUCUAAUGUUUUCUACAUGUUAUUGGAAUUGAAUAACAGGUAAAUAGUAUGAUAAAGUAAAGAGCACUGUUGAAUGUUGUAUGUGGAAUCCGUCCAUUUUGGAUCACAGUUUUUAAUAUUGAUCACAUCUUUUCCACUUCUUUCAAUAUUAUAUAAAUUAUAUAAUUUCAAAUUGAGAAAUCAUGUCUUAUCAGACGCUAUUCGCACCCCUCUAUAUCUUUUAUGAAACCCCUCUUGUUUUUUAUUUAUAAAUUUAUCCUUCAUAUUUAAAUUAUAUUAAAAAUAUAACUUAUCUAAUUAAACCCACCUAUGUUUUGUUUUUUUUUUUCCAUUAUAAACUCAUUAAAUCUAUAAAAAAAUUUAAAAAAUGAAUUGUCAUAGAAUAAGAAUUUUAUAUAAAUAUAAACAAAUUUUUUGCAGGAAAGAUAAUUUUGUGAAGUUUGUUUACUUAGAUCAAUUUUUUUUAAAGAUUCGCACACAUGUCUUUAUGUAUAUGCCAAAGUUAUUACCUACUAGGAAAAACAACGACAAAUAGAGAUAAAAAUUAUAAAUUCAUGAAUGUUAUAAUUAAGAAGAGAUUGAAAGUGGUUUGAAAUGGGAGAAAGGUGAGAGAAAACGCCUAAUAAUUUUUUUUUAAAGUAUCACGCACGAGUUUAUUAAGAGAGUAUAUAAUAAAUGAGAGUUAUUUUAUGAAUUAAGAAGAAUAUGUAGAAAAAAGGAGUUUAGAAAGAAUGUUAAAAAUGUGCCAAUAGUCCAAACUAAAAAAAAAUAAAAAUUGAGAAAUCAUGUUCUUUCAAAAGUCUUCUCUCUCUUUUAACUUUUUUUUUUCCUCCUUCCUUUUUUUCUUUUGAUAAAGUCUAACUUUUUCGUUGGAACUAACUUUUAUGUAAAUUCUUCGAAAAAAAAUUAUGUAAAUUGACUAAAUUCUUUUUUUUUAAAGUGUUAUUUUCUUUUUUUCCUACUAAAAUAAUUGGAAAAAAACAUUUAAAUGUAAUAAAUAUUGCAUUCCAAUAUUUUAUUAUUAAUAAAUUGCAAACUCUUACAUUUUACUACUUUUCCAACAAUUAACCGCUAAUUGACUUUUAAGAUACUAAUUAUGCACUUGUUUGAAUUUAAAAAAUGGGUUUAUUAAGAAGAAAAAGGAGCUUAAUAAAUAGAUUUAUAAGUUUAAAUAGCUCUAUUCUUACACAUUUAUUGACAUAUAAAAUAGCAAUAAUGCCCUUGACCUAAGUAUCCACAAUAAACCAUCUUAAUGGCAGGGGUAUAAUUAACAUGGGUAUAAUUGUUAGUUUUUUCUAUUAGUAUUUUAAAUUUAAGGGUAAAAUAAUUUUUUAAUUUAACAAGAGUUUAAUUGAUAUUUUACAAGUCAACAUAUAUGUAAUGAGUCCUGUGAUUUUACUUUUUCAAAGUAAAUGCAAAAUUAUUAUUUUAAAUUUCAACUAAUAGUCAAUUAACUGUUUUUAGUGAAAAAGUAGUAAAAACUAAAAUGUAAGAGUUUAUAAUUCCGUUGUAAUAAUAUGUUAGGGUGCAAUAUUUGGUACACCUAAAUGUUAUUUCACAAUAACUUUAAUAGAAAAGGAAUAAUAACAAAAAAAAUUAAUGUAAAUUUAUUCCAUAUGAUCUUACUAAAUUCUUAUUAAGUUACAUCAUUGGUAACUUACACCAACCUAAAAUUAUUAUUAUUUUCUAUAUAAUUCAAUUUUUAGUUAUCAAGCAAUUAAAAGAUUAUAUGAUACUGAUUUUAAGUUAACUUUUGUCCGUAAAAAGUCUAGUUGGUAUUCACUUUUAUGCUUAUUUUUUAUUUUUAUUUAUUUAUUUUCUAUCCUACCCUAUUUUGUUUAAGUCGUCUAAAAAGACUAAAAUUGGUUUAAACUCUUUUUUAACCCUUGCAAUUUUUUCUAAAUAAUUAAAAAAUAGUUUUAUUAAAUUUCUAUUUAUUAAUUAUAAAUUAGAAUUUAACUUUUUUAAUUACUUUAAAUAAAAGGGGAAUCUGGAUCCCAUGGCCAUCACUUUUCAGCUCCCAAUCAAGAUAUCUUUUCUUGCGGAAACAAUUGGUAAUAUGUACUUUCUCAUUUUGUCUUGAAAGCAGAAGCGGGGUAAAAGCGAGAUUUUAAAGUUAUAUUUUCACCCUCGUCUCGUGUCAUGAUCUGACUGGGUUAUAGGGAACUCACAUGAGCAUUCAUGUACGGACACUCGACACUCAACGCCCAAUUUUUUGGUUGAUAUGAAGUUAAGAUCAUUUUAUUGUGUUAAGUUUUGACUGAAACUCGAGGAGAAGAAACUCUGUCUCGACGCUCAUAUAUUCGUCGCUCACUAUAACAGAGGGAAAAUGGACAAAUUUUUGAACUGGAAGGACUUCGAUGUGGAGCACAAGAAUCCAUCGGAGGAAGCCUUGCGACGGUGGAGGUCCGCCGUCUCUAUCGUCAAGAACCGCCGUCGACGCUUCCGUAUGGUCGCCGAUCUCGUCAAGCGUUCCGAGGGCGAGAAGAAAAAACUCAAAAUACAGGUUCUCUCUCUCUCCAAUCUUACUCCCUUCUACUUCAUUCAUUUUAUCAUUCUUUUUUUAUUUUCUCGGCAACCAAAACGGAAAUAUUAGAAAGAGAAACCAACAUUCUUUGUUAAUCCUUCAAACUUUUUAAAAAUUUUUUUCCCAUUUUUCCAGAUUAGGGCAAAAUUUUCUUUCUCUCUCUCUCUUUUUCAAUUCAAAAAAUUUUAGUUUUAGUGUAUGUCCGUUGGCAGUUUGUUUGCAGAUCCUUUUUGUUUAACAAAAUUUCUAAGUAUAGAAAUAAUCGCCGCGCCGGAGAUGGCGCGGGCUGCAUCUCAAAACUUCACUGAGCUGUUUUUGUCACAUAUACAAUGUUUGCAUUUUCAUAUGGAAUGCACCAGUAGGUCAGCAACCAAUCGACUGUUGCCACGUUUUAACGCGGUAGAUCUUAAGUCUCCCUUCUUAAAAAGUCAAAACGUGCAUUCAACUACUCGUCUACUGUCCCCUGGCCCGCUUCACAUGGAAUUCCCCCCUCAUUUUGAGGAAAAAAUACCAUUAUAACCUCAAUUUUAAUAGAAGAUAACAGCACUUUUUUUUUUUUUCUUUCAUUUAUCAAGUUGGUUUGUAGUACCAUGGGUAGGUUCAAGUGCUAUACGAUAUAACAGUGAAUUUCAUUUAAUUGUUUUGGAAAUUUUAGGAAUUUGAGUUUUAAAAUCUAUGGCCCUUAGGUUGCGGUGGUUUUUAAUCUGUUGUGAAAAAAACUAUAUAUAUCGAACCACAAGAUCAAAUAGAGCAUACGUUUAUUAUGUCAAUGCAAUUAUCUUGAAAAAAAAAAAAAUUAUAGUGUGUUUAGUUCUUGAAUUAGGGAAUGAGAAUGGUUCCAUGUCUCAUUAAUAGUAUUUGUUAAAAAUAUAAAAGAAUAAGAAUGAAAAUGGAAGUUGAAUUGAUAUUUUUAUCUUUAAACAAAAUUUAUUCCUUCUUACCUCAUUUAAAUAUUUAAAAUAAUAAUUCUGAUAAUUAUAUAAUAUUUAUAAUUAAAAUAACAGUAAUAAUAAUAGUAGUAAUAAUAAUAAUAAUAAUAAUUAUCAUCAUCAUAAUAAUUUUUAUUCUGAUAAUGUUAUUAAUUAUAAUCAUUAGAAUAAAUAAAAUAAUUAGAAUAUUGCUAUUGCGAUUAUAAUUAUAAUUAUAGAAGUAAUUAUUUUACUAAUAUUAAAAUAAUAAUUGCCAUUAUUUUAUUAUAUUAUAAUAAUAAUGGUAAUAAUUAAAUAUUAUUUUUUACUAUAAUAAUUGUGGUAAAGAUAAUAAUAUUAAUUAUAUAAAUUAUUUUCUCUUUAUUUUAUUAGUGAAUAAAUACAUAAUUAUAAUUAAAGACAUUCUACUAAUUUACUAUAAUUUGUUGUAACUAAAAAAUCAAUUAAACUCAAAAAUAAAAAUUUAUCGUUUGGAUAAAUAACUAUUUUGAUUCUUAUUCUUCAUGCAAAUAUUAAUUUAUUCCAAUUCCUCAUGUAAUGUCAAAGUUUUAGCGGUCAUUAGUUGUAUUGAAAUUUCAGUCAACAAGGGUUUCGCCUUUUGCGUGUUCCUUUGAGCCACCCUUGAAAUUUGAAAAAUAAAGAAAUAGCUUUCAUACUGAGCCAGUAUUAUAAAAUUCACUUUCAUAACUACCUCACAUCUAGGAAACUUCAAGGAAGUUUCCCGGUGCAUCAAGCAUUAAUAACAUGAUAGAGAUGCAAUGGGAAAUUUUGUCUGUGUUGAUAACGACGGCUCACACUCUGUCACAAUUUUUUUCACAAAUAAAUUCUCUCUCUUAAUAAUACUUACCUUCUGGACUUCCACAUUUUUCUUAUCGAUAAAAAUCAUCGGUUUGCCACCUAGCUUAUCAGAUUUGUCCUGCUUCUCAUUUAUUGGAAUCUUUUGUCAUAAUUGAUUAAUUUAAAAAUGAAGUUAAAUACUAUGGUAAAAUUUUUUUGCUAGAAAUAAUGAUAAUGGGGUAUGUUCGUCUGAAAUUUGAAUUUAAUGUUUAAUUGAAUUAUAUUAAAUUCUUUUAUAAUCUUGUGUUAUGUCUAUUUAUAAUCGUUUUGAUUAAGAUUUAAUUAUAUAUUAUUUUUUAUGUAAUAACAAUUAUAUUAAAAAAAAUCUUCCACUAACAAUGAAUUCAAAUUUAGUUUUCCUACUCAGUCCUUGGCCGAGUUGCUAAAGCCUCACAAUUAUGAGGACAACGGUUCGAGCGUCACAAUUUUUUCUUCAAUUAUAAAAAAUAAGUGGGUGAAGGUGGGUAAAAUCUGAGCAGUGCUAUAUAAGUAAACUAAUCCCAGUAAAAAAAACCCAGUUUUCCCAUCUAAGAACUUUCCUAAGAUUCUGUUGCCGAUUUCACACUUAUUAAUUAUUUCUUUAAUGAUUUCAACGAUGCACUUGUUGUCUUUUAGCUAUUGGUAAUUUUAUAUGUUCACCUAACAAAGCCUUCAUAGAAUAAUGCAUGCAUUAUCUGGUAUUGAUAAUGACAGAAUAUAAUACAUUGGUUAAACACGGUUUGAACACGUUUUUGGCUGUUGUAAUUGUACUAGAAUAAUUUUGUGUUACCAAUUAAUUACAUUUUGCUGGUCAUAGAAUUAAGUGAUCUAGCCAGUCAUGUUAAGUUGGUAAAUUUAACAUUCUAUUUUAAUCAAAUUCAUAAAAGAAUCAUUUUAGUGGUGGAAGAAAGUAUUUGAAAGUGAAUGCUAGGUUGAUGGUUAAGAACUUGAGAUCAUCAUAUUGGAUUACUUUUUGUAGGCAGAAUGCACUAGAUGGGACAGGUAGAUGGUGGCCAUCAUCCCAGGGUAUACGAAAACUGAUGAAUAUAGAAGCUAACUUUUGUAAUUUAUGUCAUAAAUUUUUUUCUUCAAAUAACCAGAAUAUAACGAGAGAACACUUAUUUGCAUCCCACUAGACACUCCCUCAGCUCAAAGAAUUGUGUGAAUUAUAGCUAUUGCAUAAGAAUUCAUGUUAUGGGGCAUUUUUGGCUCUUGAUUGGUUGAAACUACUAUGGUUAAAUUUUCAAGGUCAUUGUGAUCUUCAUUAUGUUCAUGGAUGAAUAAUGAACAAAGGAUAAGCGCUUCAGGAAUUUGUGCAUUAUUUUUGCAUUGCACACAUGCAACCUGGAGUUAAAUUCGGGGGGGGGGGGGGGGACAGAAAAAAGAAAAAGCAAUGAAGUUUGUAUGAAUAUUGUAAAUGUAGAUAACAAUAUAUUGGAUGCUAAUAUUUUAUACAUGGUAAUUUAAGUCCUUGUAAGUUACACCUCUUUGGGGCUUUAGGCAUUGUUCUUGGAUUUUCAAGUAGUUAGGGAAGGCCACAAACAUUCAUAUAAACUGAUAUGUUUGAUACUUACAACCUAGGUGAGAACAAUGAGACCUUUGUCAAUGCAGCUUGUUCCAUCACUGGUGUCUCAGUUGCAAAAUUACAUAAAAGUAACAACUGCGGAAAUAUAAAGCAGUUACACAUUUAAUAGAUCAUGAAGAGAAGGAUCUUUCUCCUCAGAAAAAUUGACCCUCUAUUAGUUCUGAAUUUCAGUUUUAGCCACCAUAUUGAAUGUAAUUGACCAUUCAGCAAUAUGGAUAUGCUUUGAAACUAAUCUACACUAGAAUCCAGUGAAGGCUAGGGUGUUGCUGCCCAAAUUGUAUCAAGCUUCAUGAUGGGGUUCAUGAGUUAUUAUGUGAUUAUCUUUGAUCUCAUCCUUUUCUUUUUCUUCUCUUUUCCCUAGGAAAAAAUACGAGUUGCUCUUUACGUUCAAAAAGCAGCUUUAACGUUCAUUGAUGGUAUGAUAUCCACCUCCUUGUAGUGUCCACAAGGCUUUUCUGUUGCCUUUGGACCUUAUGAUUCUUAUUCUUUAAUUUCUUUUUCCCAAAUCAAUUUGUGCUUUUGUCCAGCUGCUGGUCGUCCUGAAUACAAGCUCUCAGAGGAGACUAGAGAAGUGGGUUUUCGUAUUGAACCUGAUGAUCUAGCAGUUAUUGUUCGUGGUCGUGAUAUUAAAGGCUUGAAAUCUAAUGAUGGAGUUGAAGGAGUUGCUCAAAAACUCUCUGUCUCCCUAAAUGAAGGUGUCUGCAAACGUGAUUUACCUAUCAGGCAAAAGAUUUAUGGCGUCAACCGUUAUACAGAGAAACCUCCCAGAUCAUUUUUGAUGUUUGUAUGGGAUGCACUGCAAGAUUUAACAUUAAUUAUCCUUAUCGUUUGCGCCGUGUUAUCUAUAGGUGUAGGACUUGCUACAGAAGGGUGGCCAGAGGGCAUGUAUGAUGGGCUGGGAAUCAUACUUAGUAUAUUAUUGGUAGUUAUGGUUACUGCCAUUAGUGACUACAAGCAGUCUUUGCAAUUUAGGGAUUUAGAUAGAGAGAAGAAAAAGAUUUUCAUUCAGGUCACUAGGGAUGGACAAAGACAAAAGGUCUCCAUUUACGAUUUGGUUGUUGGAGACAUUGUUCAUUUAUCUAUUGGAGACCAAGUUGCUGCUGAUGGGAUUUUUAUAUCAGGAUACUCGCUGCUUAUCGAUGAGUCAAGCUUGUCAGGGGAAAGUGAGCCGAUGUAUAUAUGUGAAGAAAAUCCUUUUCUUCUUGCUGGUACCAAAGUUCAAGAUGGUUCAGGAAAGAUGCUGGUGACAACAGUUGGUAUGAGGACUGAAUGGGGGAAGUUGAUGGAAACUCUGAAUGAAGGCGGUGAAGAUGAGACUCCACUGCAGGUGAAGCUAAAUGGUGUUGCUACAAUUAUUGGUAAAAUUGGAUUGUUUUUUUCUGUGCUUACAUUUUUAGUAUUGGCUGGAAGGUUUUUGGGGGAGAAAGCAAUUCAUAAUGAGUUCACAGUUUGGUCUUCAGCUGAUGCAUUGACACUGAUUGACUACUUUGCCGUUGCGGUAACUAUAAUUGUUGUGGCUGUCCCUGAAGGAUUGCCAUUGGCAGUCACAUUGAGCCUUGCCUUUGCAAUGAAGAAAUUAAUGAAUGAUCGGGCACUUGUCAGGCAUCUCUCUGCAUGCGAGACAAUGGGUUCUGCAAGCUGCAUUUGUACAGAUAAGACUGGGACAUUAACCACAAACCAUAUGGUAGUUGAUAAAAUCUGGAUAUGCAAUACAAUUUCAAAGGUUGAAGGCAAUAACAGAGAAGACAUCUUGCAGUUAGAAAUAUCUGAAAGAGUAUUGGACGUCACCUUGCAGGCAAUAUUUCAAAAUACUGGCUCGGAAGUGGUGAAAGAUAAAGAUGGCAAGAAUUCCAUUUUAGGAACGCCAACAGAGUCAGCAAUAUUAGAAUUUGGCUUGCAUCUGGGUGGCGAUUUUGAGGCUCAACGUAGAGAGUUUAAGAUUGUCAAGGUUGAGCCUUUUAAUUCGGUUAGAAAGAAGAUGUCCGUGCUUAUUGCUCUUCCAGCGGGUGGGAUGCGAGCUUUCUGCAAAGGGGCUUCAGAAAUAGUGUUAAGUAUGUGUGACAAAGUGGUUUCUGACAACGGAGAACCGGUACCUUUAUCUGAAGAGCAAUUCAGGAAUAUCACUGAUGUAAUAAAUGGCUUCGCAUCUGAAGCUCUGAGAACUCUCUGCCUGGCUUUCAAAGAUCUAAAUGAUUCUUCUAAUGAAAACAACAUCCCUGACAGUGGCUAUACAUUAAUAGCAGUUGUUGGAAUUAAGGAUCCCGUGCGUCCUGGAGUCAAGGAGGCGGUUCAAACUUGUUUAGAGGCUGGAAUUACUGUUCGCAUGGUCACCGGUGAUAAUAUAAAUACAGCUAGAGCAAUAGCUAAAGAAUGUGGCAUACUUACAUCAGAUGGUGAGGCUGUGGAAGGACCAGAAUUCCGUAACAUGUCUCCUGCCGAUAUGAAGCGCAUCAUACCAAAACUUCAGGUUAUAUAUCUUAUCGAACUGAACAUAAUGAAGUUAAAAUCUAAAUCUAUUUGCACAAGGUGCUAAUACUAUUAUGACUGUUUAUUAUGGAUACAGGUAAUGGCUCGUUCUUUGCCUUUGGACAAGCACACCUUGGUAACUCAGUUGAGGAAAACAUUUGGGGAGGUUGUUGCAGUGACAGGUGAUGGAACCAAUGAUGCUCCUGCUUUGCAUGAAGCAGAUAUUGGACUUUCAAUGGGCAUAGCUGGGACAGAGGUUAGUGUUUCUGUAUUAUAUAGAACUUCUUCGUAUUUGUUCAAACAUGUGGUUCUUCUAUAAUGUGUAGUGUGCCUAAUGGAUUUUGUUCUCUACCUCUGAGUAAAGAAAAGAGGUAUAUUUUCUAGGAGGCAGUGUCUAUGAGCACUAUUAGCGUUUGAUCAAUGUCAUGUCCAGUGCUUAAUUAUUUUUCCCCAGAUUUGUCAUCAUCAAAGUUUGAAACAAAUGCCCAUAUGAACUAAAAAUGUUUCUUUGUAAAGAGACUUUAUAACCAUUUUUGCAGCUUACUUGCAUCCGUGAAUCACAUGAACUUUUAUUCGUUCAUUGUUUUAUAUUUUGCUUUCUCAAUUCUCGUGUUGAUAUUGUGAAUAAGAAAUUUGUUAUCUGCCGUAGUAGUGCAGUGUUUUGGUGAGAGCAACUAAUAAUAAAAGCAAACAGCUUCUUUAACAAUUAUGCAUGGUAAUCAAUCAUCGUUUAUUUACUUUUUAUAUCUUCAAUUUCUUGCAAUAUAAUCAGGUCUUUAAGUGUGGGGACAAGUUGGUUUAACUGAUAAGGUCUCUUUGGUUGGUAUGACUGAUUUGGGGCGCACUCCCUGCUCACAUCUGAGUCGAGGGUUAGCAUUAGUACGAUAGUUUGAAAAAAUAAUUGGAUUUUCAAGUGCCUGUUGGGAAGUUAAUUUCCUUUGCUUUCACAAAAUGUACUCCUGAAGUCUGAAGGCUUUUAAACUGCUGUAACCUGAGGAGAGAUUCUUUGGAAUUGCACCUGUUUAAUCCAUCUAGACGGUUAAUGCAGUCUAAUGAUGUUUUUCCUGUUUUCAUAGUACUGAUAACCUAAAGCGCAUGCUAUUUACAGGUUGCCAAAGGAAAUGCUGAUGUUAUCAUCUUAGAUGAUAAUUUUUCAACGAUUGUAAAUGUUGCCAAGUGGGGACGUGCAGUAUAUAUAAACAUUCAGAAGUUUGUGCAGUUCCAGUUAACAGUUAAUGUUGUCGCACUUGUGAUCAACUUCGUUUCUGCAUGUGCCUCAGGUUAGUCUUUUACACUGUUCACUUGUUUGACUUGUAUAGUACCAUUACGCUUAUUACAAAUAAUGAACAUGAGCUUCCACUUAACUUUCAGGAUCUGCUCCUCUCACGGCUGUACAAUUGCUUUGGGUCAACAUGAUUAUGGACACUCUUGGAGCACUAGCACUGGCUACAGAACCUCCUCAUGAAGGAUUAAUGAAAAGGCCCCCUGUUGCGAAGGGUGAAAGUUUCAUCACCAAGGUCAUGUGGAGGAACAUAAUUGGUCAGAGCAUUUAUCAGCUAAUCAUCCUGGUAGCUCUCAAUUUUGACGGGAAGCAGAUACUG
rnacentral:lncRNA from 1 species